rnacentral:rRNA from 1 species
UACGAACGCUGGCGGCGCGCCUAACACAUGCAAGUCGAACGAGCGAGAGAGAGCUUGCUUUCUCGAGCGAGUGGCGAACGGGUGAGUAACGCGUGAGUAACCUGCCCUGGAGUGGGGGACAACAGUUGGAAACGACUGCUAAUACCGCAUAAGCCCACGGCCCGGCAUCGGGUUGAGGGAAAAGGAUUUAUUCGCUUCAGGAUGGACUCGCGUCCAAUUAGCUAGUUGGUGAGGUAACGGCUCACCAAGGCGACGAUCAGUAGCCGGUCUGAGAGGAUGAACGGCCACAUUGGGACUGAGAUACGGCCCAG